rnacentral:rRNA from 1 species
UUCCAGACUCCUACGGGAGGCAGCAGUGAGGAAUAUUGGUCAAUGGGCGCUAGCCUGAACCAGCCAAGUAGCGUGAAGGAUGACUGCCCUAUGGGUUGUAAACUUCUUUUAUAUGGGAAUAAAGUGCAGUAUGUAUACUGCUUUGCAUGUACCUUAUGAAUAAGGAUCGGCUAACUCCGUGCCAGCAGCCGCGGUAAUACGGAGGAUCCGAGCGUUAUCCGGAUUUAUUGGGUUUAAAGGGUGCGUAGGCGGAACAUUAAGUCAGCGGUAAAAUCGAGGGGCUCAACCCCUUUAAGCCGUUGAAACUGGUGAUCUUGAGUGGGCGAGAAGUAUGCGGAAUGCGUGGUGUAGCGGUGAAAUGCAUAGAUAUCACGCAGAACUCCGAUUGCGAAGGCAGCAUACCGGCGCCCGACUGACGCUGAGGCACGAAAGCGUGGGGAUCGAACAGGAUUAGAUACCCUCGUA